rnacentral:rRNA from 1 species
GCCAGUGACGAUAGCACGUUGAACACACUCAGUUCUCAAUGGAUCACUGAAGUUAAGCAACGUUGCGCAUGGUUGGUAUACGGAUGGUUGACCAUAUCGCCAAUCACAAGGUGCUGGCU